rnacentral:rRNA from 1 species
ACGGGUGCGUAACGCGUGGGAAUCUGCCCUUGGGUUCGGAAUAACAGUGAGAAAUUACUGCUAAUACCGGAUGAUGUCUUCGGACCAAAGAUUUAUCGCCCAGGGAUGAGCCCGCGUAGGAUUAGGUAGUUGGUGGGGUAAUGGCCUACCAAGCCGACGAUCCUUAGCUGGUCUGAGAGGAUGAUCAGCCACACUGGGACUGAGACACGGCCCAGACUCCUACGGGAGGCAGCAGUGGGGAAUAUUGGACAAUGGGCGAAAGCCUGAUCCAGCAAUGCCGCGUGAGUGAUGAAGGCCUUAGGGUUGUAAAGCUCUUUUACCAGGGAUGAUAAUGACAGUACCUGGAGAAUAAGCUCCGGCUAACUCCGUGCCAGCAGCCGCGGUAAUACGGAGGGAGCUAGCGUUGUUCGGAAUUACUGGGCGUAAAGCGCGCGUAGGCGGUUACUCAAGUCAGAGGUGAAAGCCCGGGGCUCAACCCCGGAACUGCCUUUGAAACUAGGUAACUAGAAUCUUGGAGAGGUCAGUGGAAUUCCGAGUGUAGAGGUGAAAUUCGUAGA